CGGUAAUCGCGGCCUGGGACAGGACCAGGAACUGUUGGCGGGGCCGGGCCGGGACUGGAGCACUGGGCGGAGAUCCGGACCGCACCGGCGACGGUGGGGCGGGAGAAGCCGCCUUCUGAGACCAGGCCGCCCCCGUCUACGUGAAGACUCUGCCAGGUGAAGACUCUUGCCUUGCGCUCUGCACCAUCAGCCUCUUGUUAUCUGUUCCCCCUAGGACUCCCCAAUUUUUGACAGUGACAGUCUCCUUUCGGUGGUCCCGCCCAAAGUGGAAUCUGAGCAAGUGGCACCCUACUACCUGCGCAGCCCUCAAACGUCUGCAGAUGCUGCUCACAGUCUUCUGGACACCCAGGGAUCUCUUAGAGGAAGCCUGAAAAUAAAUGUGAGACCACGUUUUUGAAAACUCCAAACCUUGAUUGCAGGGCAUGACCGGAGCUCAAACUGAAUCAGAAAAACAUCCAUUACCAGAUAGAAGUAACGUUGUAAAAACGUAUAUUCUUCACCAGUAAGUUUGAUCCCAAUAGAAAUGUCAACAGGAUUUUUCAAAAAACUUGAUAAGCUGAUCCUAAAGUCAUCUGGAAGAGAUAAUCCUCAAGAAUAGUGGGGGGAAAAAUCCAGAAAGAAGGAAGGCAGGUGGGGAGGGGGUAAAAAGCUCAAGCAGAAUUCCCCUUCUGUAUUUAAAAGCUACCUCAAAGGCAACAUGGUAUUUGUGGAGAGACAAUUGGAGUAAAUCUAAGAAUCCUGAAACAAGCCUAAGUGUACAGGAAAUAUAGGGCCCGAAAAUCAGGAAAAGAUAGGUUCUUCAAUAGUGUUGGGAUUUCCAAGUGGAAAAGGAACGCGUACACCAGGCACAGGCCAGUGGCCAAUGCCUGUAAUCCCAGCCAUUAGGAGGCAAGGCAGCAGGAUGGCAAGUUCAAAACCAGCCCCAGCAGCUUAGGGAGGCCUUGAGCAACUUAGUGAGACCCUGUCUCUAAACAAAAAGUAAAAAGGUCUAGGGAUGUGUUUCAGUGGUUAAGUGCCCCUGGGUUUAAUCUCUGGUAUUAGAAAAGAAGAAGAAAGAAAAAGAAAGGAAAGGAAAGGGUAAAUGGAAUCUCGACCUUACUUUGUUUUAAAAUGCAGUGUGAGUGACAUUAAGGACUAAUAGUAAAAACAAAAUUGCAAAACUAACAAAAUCAAAUACAAGUGAAUAUUUCAGAUUUCCAGUGGAUAACUUUUCCCUCCUGAAGCUGCCAGUGAACCCAGAGCCUCAUAUAUUCUAAGUACCUACUUCCACUAAACCCCAGCCCUGUAAUUCAAACCAUCUCUAGAUUGUUUGCAAUACCUACUACAAUGUAAAUAAUAUGUAAAUAGUUGUUAUAUUACUUUGUUUAGGGAAUAGUGACCAAAAAAAAGCUGGUAAGUAUUCAAUACAAAGCAAUUUUUUUCCAAAUAUUUUCCAUCUGAAGUUGGUUGAACCCAAAGACUCAUGGACAUGAAGGGCCAUCUGUCCAUUGUUUUACAUGUUUUAAAGCCGUAUGCAGGCCAGGUACAGUGGCACCUGCCUGUAAUCCCAGCUACUCAGGAAGCUGAGGAAAGAGAAUUGUAAGUUCAAGGCCAGGCUCACCAACUUGGUUAUCUGUUGGCAAAUUAGUUAUCUGUUGCUGCAAAACAAGUUACUCCAAAACUGAGCAUCUUACAGCAUCAGCAUGGAUCAUCGCACACAAUUACUGGAGUCAGAGGCCUGGAAGGUGCUUGACUGAGUGAUUCUGACUUAGGGUCUGUGUCAGUCUGCUUUCUGUCACUAUGGCAAAUACCUGAGAUAAAUCAAUUUGAAAGGAGGAAAGGGGGCUGGAGUAGUGACUCAGCAGUAGAGCACUUGCCUGGUAUGUGUGAG
rnacentral:lncRNA from 1 species